rnacentral:rRNA from 1 species
CCUACGGGAGGCAGCAGUAAGGAAUAUUCGACAAUGGACGAGAGUCUGAUCCAGCCAAGCCGCGUGAAUGAAGAAGGUCUUCUGAUCGUAAAACCCUGUUGUUAGAGAAGAAAGAUCUUGCGCGUAACUGUUCUCGUUUCUACGCUAUCUAUCCAGAUCAGCAAGGCUAGCUACGUGACCGCCGGCGAGGUAAUACGUAGGUGGCAAACGUUAUCCGGAUUUGUUGGGAUUAAGGGGAACGCGGGUGGUCUGUUAAGUCUGAUGUGAAAGGUUGCGGCUUAACCGUAGUAGUGCAUUGGAAACUGGGAGACUGGAGUGCAGUAGAGGAGAGCGGAAUUCCAUGUGUAGCGGUGAAAUGCGUAGAUAUAGGGAAGAACUCCAGUUGCGAAAGCGGCUCACUGGGCUGUAACUGACGCUGAGGCUCGAAAGCGUGGGUAGCAAACAGGAUUAGAUACCCGAGUAGUC